AUGACUUCACUGAAUAAAGUUGUUCCAAAUAAUGGUGAUGCAAGGUCAAUGUUGCCAAAUAAAAUCACUGCAUUAAAUCCCAAUGCAGCAGAGUUUGUCCCUUCAUGUGUUAUUAGACCAUCCUAUGGUAAUAGCACAGCUUCAGAUGCAAGUAAGUCUGAACUUAGGGGGUCACCUGGAAAAAAAAUUCUAGAUAGGUCUGAGUCGUCCAAGUCUAAUAACUCAGACGAUGAGGCACACCAGUUCUGGCGUAAGCAGCUCCCAGAUGAUAUUAUUCCAGACUUCACUUCUUUCGAGAAAAUCGAACAAGAACCUGAAGAACUGUCCCUUGCUGGAUUAUCCUUGAAUGCACCUCCUUUCUAUGGGACAAAAGCUAGCCGCUUGUCAAGAGAACACCAAGAGUUGUCUUCUUCAGCUAGCAACCUGGAACUUGGGCAUACCAAUUUAUUUUACGAGGAUAAUUCACAGUCAACCUUUUCAACUGUUGGUUCAAGCAAUUGGGAGCAAAAUUACGUGGGUGACCUCCACUUUGCUAAUGAAAAUCAGGACCUUCAGUAUGAUCCUACCACAGGCUUUACUGACAGUUUUGCUAGUGAGUACGUUGCAGCAUCAGAUGGCCUUUUUGAUCCCCUAGAGUAUUUAGCGUCUCAGUUUCCUGGAUUUUCAGCAGAGAGUCUUGGGGAGCUGUACUAUGCAAAUGGAUGUGACUUCAAUCAUACUAUUGAAAUUCUCACCCAGCUAGAGAUGCAAGUGGAUCCUACUUCCAAUCAGGCAAUGAAUUUGACCCCCAGCUCACCAAACUUUAGUACGGGCGACUUUCCUGCCCUGCCAACAGCAGAAGAUCAAAACGGUUUCUCUAAGGGAGAUAUGGAUAUCCUUGGCUUCUUCAGUGGGCGCAAUUCUUCCACCAUAUCUAGUGGUACUGGUGAUUUUGUUUCAGCUGUUCGGAAACUUGCAUCGCAGAAUUCUGGCCACAACAAGUUCAAAAAGGGUCCUGAUUACGGCAAUGGUGUUUCUACCGUUUCUGUACCCAAGCAGUACAGUUUUGGUUCUAAAACAUCUUCCGGGAACAAGUAUCAAAGUGUUAGUAGUGCACGUGCAGCUGCAACUCCAUGGCUUGAUACUGGCGAUGCAGUCGCAAACAUGUAUUCGGAAUCGAGGGAAGAAGCUCGUGAUUUUGCCCGUGUCCGAAAUGCAUGUUUUGAGCAGGCUAGACAAGCUUACCUAAUUGGCAACAAAGCUCUGGCCAAGGAACUAAGCAUCAAAGGUCAGGCCUAUAACUCGCAAAUGAAAGCAGCUCAUGAGAAAGCUAGAGAAGCUAUUUAUCGACAGAGGAACCCUGGUGCUUUGCAACGGGGGAGUGAUCGUCUGAUUGAUCUACACGGCCUCCACGUGAGCGAAGCAAUCCAUAUCCUGAAGGUCGAGCUCGGCUCCCUGAGGGGCAUGGCGAGGGCUUCAGGCGAAAGGAUGCAAGUCAUGGUAUGCGUCGGAACAGGCCACCACACCAAGGGGUCUCGCACCGCGAGGCUGCCCAUCGCCGUCGAGCAGUUCCUUCUGGACGAAGGGCUCCAUUACACGCAACCUCAGCCCGGCCUGCUUCGCGUCGCCGUGUACUAA
rnacentral:rRNA from 1 species